rnacentral:rRNA from 1 species
UACGUAGGGAGCAAGCGUUGUCCGGAAUCAUUGGGCGUAAAGCGCGCGUAGGUGGCCCCGUAAGUCCGCUGUGAAAGUCAAAGGCUCAACCUUUGAAAGCCGGUGGAUACUGUGGGACUAGAGUACGGAAGAGGCGAGUGGAAUUCCUGGUGUAGCGGUGGAAUGCGCAGAUAUCAGGAGGAACACCAAUAGCGAAGGCAGCUCGCUGGGGCUGCGCUGACGCUGAGACACGAAAGCCAGGGGAGCGAACGGG